GGUUAAGCGACUAAGCGUACACGGUGGAUGCCCUGGCAGUCAGAGGCGAUGAAGGACGUGCUAAUCUGCGAAAAGCGUCGGUAAGGUGAUAUGAACCGUUACAGCCGGCGAUGUCCGAAUGGGGAAACCCAGUGCAAUUCGUUGCACUAUCGUUAACUGAAUACAUAGGUUAACGAGGCGAACCGGGGGAACUGAAACAUCUAAGUACCCCGAGGAAAAGAAAUCAACCGAGAUUCCCCCAGUAGCGGCGAGCGAACGGGGAGCAGCCCAGAGUCUGAAUCAGCUUGUGUGUUAGUGGAACGGUCUGGAAAGUCCGACGGUACAGGGUGAUAGUCCCGUACACCAAAAUGCACAGGCUGUGAACUCGAAGAGUAGGGCGGGACACGUGGUAUCCUGUCUGAAUAUGGGGGGACCAUCCUCCAAGGCUAAAUACUCCUGACUGACCGAUAGUGAACCAGUACCGUGAGGGAAAGGCGAAAAGAACCCCGGCGAGGGGAGUGAAAAAGAACCUGAAACCGUGUACGUACAAGCAGUGGGAGCACCUUCGGGUGUGACUGCGUACCUUUUGUAUAAUGGGUCAGCGACUUAUAUUCUGUAGCAAGGUUAACCGUAUAGGGGAGCCGCAGGGAAACCGAGUCUUAACUGGGCGUUAAGUUGCAGGGUAUAGACCCGAAACCCGGUGAUCUAGCCAUGGGCAGGUUGAAGGUUGGGUAACACUAACUGGAGGACCGAACCGACUAAUGUUGAAAAAUUAGCGGAUGACUUGUGGCUGGGGGUGAAAGGCCAAUCAAACCGGGAGAUAGCUGGUUCUCCCCGAAAGCUAUUUAGGUAGCGCCUCGUGAAUUCAUCUUCGGGGGUAGAGCACUGUUUCGGCUAGGGGGUCAUCCCGACUUACCAACCCGAUGCAAACUACGAAUACCGAAGAAUGUUAUCACGGGAGACACACGGCGGGUGCUAACGUCCGUCGUGAAGAGGGAAACAACCCAGACCGCCAGCUAAGGUCCCAAAGUCACAGUUAAGUGGGAAACGAUGUGGGAAGGCACAGACAGCCAGGAUGUUGGCUUAGAAGCAGCCAUCAUUUAAAGAAAGCGUAAUAGCUCACUGGUCGAGUCGGCCUGCGCGGAAGAUGUAACGGGGCUAAACUGUGCACCGAAGCUGCGGCAGCGACACUAUGUGUUGUUGGGUAGGGGAGCGUUCUGUAAGCCUGCGAAGGUGGCCUGUGAGGGUUGCUGGAGGUAUCAGAAGUGCGAAUGCUGACAUAAGUAACGAUAAUGCGGGUGAAAAGCCCGCACGCCGGAAGACCAAGGGUUCCUGUCCAACGUUAAUCGGGGCAGGGUGAGUCGACCCCUAAGGCGAGGCCGAAAGGCGUAGUCGAUGGGAAACAGGUUAAUAUUCCUGUACUUGGUGUUACUGCGAAGGGGGGACGGAGAAGGCUAUGUUAGCCGGGCGACGGUUGUCCCGGUUUAAGCAUGUAGGCGGAGGUUCCAGGUAAAUCCGGUACCUUAUUAACGCUGAGGUGUGAUGACGAGGCACUACGGUGCUGAAGUAACAAAUGCCCUGCUUCCAGGAAAAGCCUCUAAGCAUCAGGUAACAUUGAAUCGUACCCCAAACCGACACAGGUGGUCAGGUAGAGAAUACCAAGGCGCUUGAGAGAACUCGGGUGAAGGAACUAGGCAAAAUGGUGCCGUAACUUCGGGAGAAGGCACGCUGAUAUGUAGGUGAAGCCCCUGCGGGUGGAGCUGAAAUCAGUCGAAGAUACCAGCUGGCUGCAACUGUUUAUUAAAAACACAGCACUGUGCAAACACGAAAGUGGACGUAUACGGUGUGACGCCUGCCCGGUGCCGGAAGGUUAAUUGAUGGGGUUAUCCGUAAGGAGAAGCUCUUGAUCGAAGCCCCGGUAAACGGCGGCCGUAACUAUAACGGUCCUAAGGUAGCGAAAUUCCUUGUCGGGUAAGUUCCGACCUGCACGAAUGGCGUAAUGAUGGCCAGGCUGUCUCCACCCGAGACUCAGUGAAAUUGAACUCGCUGUGAAGAUGCAGUGUACCCGCGGCAAGACGGAAAGACCCCGUGAACCUUUACUAUAGCUUGACACUGAACAUUGAGCCUUGAUGUGUAGGAUAGGUGGGAGGCUUUGAAGCGUGGACGCCAGUCUGCGUGGAGCCAACCUUGAAAUACCACCCUUUAAUGUUUGAUGUUCUAACGUUGGCCCCUGACCGGGGUUGCGGACAGUGUCUGGUGGGUAGUUUGACUGGGGCGGUCUCCUCCCAAAGAGUAACGGAGGAGCACGAAGGUUAGCUAAUCCUGGUCGGACAUCAGGAGGUUAGUGCAAUGGCAUAAGCUAGCUUGACUGCGAGCGUGACGGCGCGAGCAGGUGCGAAAGCAGGUCAUAGUGAUCCGGUGGUUCUGAAUGGAAGGGCCAUCGCUCAACGGAUAAAAGGUACUCCGGGGAUAACAGGCUGAUACCGCCCAAGAGUUCAUAUCGACGGCGGUGUUUGGCACCUCGAUGUCGGCUCAUCACAUCCUGGGGCUGAAGUAGGUCCCCAAGGGUAUGGCUGUUCGCCAUUUAAAGUGGUACGCGAGCUGGGUUUAGAACGUCGUGAGACAGUUCGGUCCCUAUCUGCCGUGGGCGCUGGAGAAUUGAGGGGGGCUGCUCCUAGUACGAGAGGACCGGAGUGGACGCAUCACUGGUGUUCGGGUUGUCAUGCCAAUGGCAUUGCCCGGUAGCUAAAUGCGGAAGAGAUAAGUGCUGAAAGCAUCUAAGCACGAAACUUGCCCCGAGAUGAGUUCUCCCUGAGACUUUAAGUCUCCUGAAGGAACGUUAAAGACGAUGACGUUGAUAGGUCGGGUGUGUAAGCGUAGCGAUACGUUGAGCUAACCGAUACUAAUGAACCGUGAGGCUUAACCUUAC
rnacentral:rRNA from 1 species